CACACCAGUCCCCCCCCCUCCCACCCCCCCCUGAGAAACCAGACGGCAAACACCCAGCCCCCCCACCCUGGCUCUGGCUCCUCUCCCUGCCUAUAGAGCAGACCCCCGAGCGCCCAACUGCACCGAGUUCACACACUCCAGCCUACUUCCAAGUCGCCUAUACACCACCCUCUCGCUCCAGCCCUCAAAUUGACACAUAAGACCAAUGGGCGUGUCGGACAACCAAUAGGAAUCCGCCGUUUGGAUUUGGGGGCGGGAACUAGGGCUGACUGGGACCAAUGGAAGCGAGCCGAACCCCCUAAGCUUGGGGAAGAGAAUGUUGACAGAUCUGAAUCUCUCUUCCGAUAGGUCAGCCACGAUAGUAACAAUUUAGAAGCCGAAGCUUAGCAACAGCACGUGGUGGCCCAGCCCCCGCGCUCUCUGAGUGGCCAUCGGGGUGCAUGUUAAGUAGGCGCUGCGCGCUGAUUGGUCUUGAGGAGGCUAUGUAAAGUAGCGGAGAGCGGACCAAUGGAUGGGCCGGAGGGAGACUGGCCAAUGAGAUGUGCGGAGCGGACGGCGUUGCCGAGAGGAAGGGAAGCCUGGGCUGGUAGAGUGUGGCCUGGCCUAAGCCGGCCUGUUAGCAACUGGAAUGAGACGUCUAGGGGCCGAGGGAGAAGGCGGAGACUUGCGCUGAGGACACCGUUAGACGGAACUCCCCUUCUGCCUUCACGCCUCCAGGACUUGUGAAAGCAACAAGCCAUCAUCCGCCGACCCCGGGACUCCCGCCUUAAAAGUCGGCCCUAGAGGCAAAAGGAAUGCUACAGGUCAAUCUGCCCGACACACGAGGCCUUCCUCUGAGAACACCAGAGCCUCACUCUGGCUGUGUGCCUGUUCUUACUCAUACACGAUCCAUGCCUGGUCUACCUCCUUUUUUAUUUUCAGUCAUUUUGAUGGUGCCUCUCAUUCUUCUCAGCAUUUGGCUCAACAGAACAAAAGGCAAUCUUAAAGCUCCCCAUGUCCAUGUGGAAAUCAUACAAGAUUCCUCGAGAGAUGAAACCACGGCGAUAACUUUGUUCAGCAAUCUUCUGCUCAUCAGCUUGAGGCGACACAUACAGCAAGGUGUAAAGCCUUAACGAAGACCUGGGAAUGAAGAUCAUGGGUAGGCCAGUGAAAGACACGAUGUGGGCCUCUGUGGGCUCAGAUGGCCCUGAUAGCCACUGACACCCAGCGAGUCACCAUGGCUGUUUGCUUCUGGAAUGGAAGCACUCAAUAAAUGACUGUAAGUAUCAGAGUCA
rnacentral:lncRNA from 1 species